GCUCACAAACUCACAACAAGGCUCACAGAUAGUUCACUCUAGAUGAUUAUGCUGCUGUACGAUGGUUUAGGGUACUCACACCGUUACUAACACGAGGUCUCUUUUCCCUCUUCUUUCCAGCUCCUGGAUACUUCUCCUGCUGCCACGUGACCUGUCGAAAGUGCCUCCUUCGGCGAUACUUCCGACUAAUGAAAUUGAAGUAUCCAAUGAAGACCCUAGCAGUAUGGAGUAUAUGGAUACAGAGGUUGCCAGCAAUCAGGAGGUGAUCCAGAAGACUCGUGGGAAUCUAUUUGAAGCUGCAGUCAUUGAAGACAGUCCAGCAGAUGUUGGAGUUUUAAAGGAUACAGUUCUUCAGGACCUAUAGCAGUUUACAGUCUGCAAAACCAUGUUGCUGGGACUGAUAUAUGGACUGAACUUGAGCAACCCUCCUGAAUUCAGGUACACAUUUGGAAUACUGAAGAAGUUAUUUCUGGAGCCAGUUCCUGUUCCUGGAAUAAGGUUUGAUUGGUUGCCCAUGAA